rnacentral:rRNA from 1 species
ACGGGGUGCAGCAGGCGCGAAACCUCCGCAAUGCGGGAAACCGUGACGGGGUCACCCCGAGUGCCCCGAAGAGGGGCUUUUCCCCGCUGUAAAAAGGCGGGGGAAUAAGCGGGGGGCAAGUCUGGUGUCAGCCGCCGCGGUAAUACCAGCUCCGCGAGUGGUCGGGGUGUUUACUGGGCUUAAAGCGCCCGUAGCCGGCCCGGCAAGUCGCUCCUGAAAUCCCAGGGCUCAACCCGGGGGCGGGGGGCGAUACUGCCGGGCUAGGGGGCGGGAGAGGCCGCCGCUACUCCGGGGGUAGGGGCGAAAUCCGUUAAUCCCCGGAGGACCACCAGUGGCGAAAGCGGGCGGCCAGAACGCGCCCGACGGUGAGGGGCGAAAGCCGGGGGAGCAAAGGGGAUUAGAUACCCCUGUAGUCCCGGCCGUAAACGAUGCGGGCUAGCUGUCGGCCGGGCUUAGGGCCCGGCCGGUGGCGAAGGGAAACCGUUAAGCCCGCCGCCUGGGGAGUACGGCCGCAAGGCUGAAACUUAAAGGAAUUGGCGGGGGAGCAC